CUAAGAUGUUUGGUCAUCCACAAACAAUUGUUGUCUUGUUUUGGUCCUCUUUAGAAGGUGGUUUAUAAUCAGCUAUAGAACUCUAACAGAUGUCCCUAAAUGCAGGUUUCCAAUAACUUUGGAGAUUGUGACAUAAGAAUAAAGGAAAAAAACUUUCAGGACUCUCAUGGAGAGGUGAAAUGUUCAUAAUAUCAAACAGAACAGGAGUUAACUGAGUUGACUGAACCAAUAGAAAACUGAAGUAAUCUUUUUAACUUUUUGCUUAAAAUGUUGCUGAUCCUUUGUUUUCCAGAGUCAAGAAAACUGUUCUUUUAAGCUAUUUACAGCAUUUAACAGACACAAUUGGAGAAACUGGUUAUUUUACCAAGGCUUUGGCUGUAAUGGCAUGCUUUCCUUUAAGGAAUCAAAUUUAACUUGCAGAGCCAAUAAAAGCCUUUCGGGAAACUGGCCUCAUACCUUGCCUACAACAGUCCCUCUACAAGGUUUCUGACCUGUGGUUAAGUAAAGAAUAUCACUUUAUGACCGGCCUAGAACCCCCAAGUUAUCUUGAAACCUCAAGAGGAGAGGAAUUUACUCAACUCAUAGGUAUUUGAGGGUACAAACCUCUGGCAGGGCUCAGCUCUAAAAAAGUCUUAUCUGAGAUUCCUUCUAUGGGACAGAGUUCCAUCAAAGCCAAUUGAAAAGCCUAUGUAAAAAAUAAUUAUCCUUGCUGCACUGUAUACAAAAGUUAGGCCAGGUAUAAUAAAGCAAAGCAGUCCUACCAUGAUUUGUCUUUAAUAAAAAUGGGAAACUGGAGAGAGUAACUGUUUCAAGAACUAUGGUACACUUGUUAAGUCUCAUUGGUUGUUUCUGCAAUUUAGGCUAACCCUGCUUAUUCUUGUGAACCAACAAGUGAUCUCUGGCUUCUACUCAGAAAAACAAGAGGGAUGGGUAAUGUAAAAACCUGAAUCAGUAUUCUAAAUCUGAGCACAUAUUGCAAUCAGCUAGCAACCCCAUAUCAGCUUCCUUCCAACAGUUGCCCAGUUCAUGGAAAGCCUAAUUUAGUUGAGAUAAUUUUAUUUAUUUUACUUUACUGUUGUGGAAUAUAUUGCUAUUGUACUCUUUGUGUAAGAAUGCAGGAUAAGCUUACUGAAUGUUUUCUUAAACUGAAUACUUUUUAAUCUUCCAGAUAUCACCUUUUGUCAGAACUCGAGAGUUAUGAAUGACCUUUGCCAUACCAACACUUUCUGACUGAGCUCCUCUCUACCCUGAAUACAAGAGAACCUCAUAGUUAGGCAGGAAUAUCAUUGUACCUAUUCAGCCUGAAGAAGUUACAGAAGAUGGAUAUUCUUCCCUCUGCAACCCUUAGGAUUAAGGUUCCUCUUAUAAAAGGGUGUGGGGAAUUGUCAGAGGUAUUUGAACUAGAGCAACUCCAUCUUGAAUAGGCGCUUGGUAAAAUGAGGCUGAGACUUACUUGGCUGCAUUCUCAGAUGGUUGAGGCAUUCUAAAUCACCGGGUGAGACAGGGUGUCAGCACAAGAUACAAGUCAUAAAGACCUUGCUGAUAAAACAAGUUGCAGUAAAAAAGCCAGCCAAAACCCACCCAAACCAAGAUGACGAGACUGACCUCUGGUUGUCCUAAUGACUAUACUCCCACCAGCUCCAUGACAGUUUACAAAUGUCAUAGCAACAUGAGGAAGUUACCCUAUAUGUUCUAAAAAUUGGACCCAUGAAUAAUCCAUGUGUUUUUAAGCAUAUAAUCAAGAAAUAACCCUAAAAAUGGGCAAACAGCAGUCCUCAGGGCUUGUCUAUGGAGUAGCCAUUCUUUUAUUCUUCUACUUUCUUAAUAAACUUGCUUUCACUUUA